rnacentral:rRNA from 1 species
AUUGAACGCUGGCGGCAGGCCUAACACAUGCAAGUCGAGCGGAGCGGCGGACGGGUGAGUAAGGACUAGGAAUCUGCCUGGCAGUGGGGGAUAACGUACGGCAACGGGCGCUAAUUCCGCAUACUAUCAGUUGAGCAUAGGCCGGAUUAGUUAGUUGGUGGGGUAAAGGCUCACCAAGGCGACGAUCCGUAGCUGGUCUGAGAGGAUGAUCAGUCACACUGGAACUGAGACACGGCCCAGACUCCUACGGGAGGCAGCAGUGGGGAAUAUUGGACAAUGGGCGAAAGCCUGAUCCAGCCAUGCCGCGUGUAUGAAGAAGGCCUUAGGGUUGUAAAGUACUUUCAGCGGGGAGGCGUUACCCGCAGAAGAAGCACCGGCUAACUCCGUGCCAGCCGCCGCGGUAAUUC